rnacentral:rRNA from 1 species
CACGUAGUUAGCCGGGGCUUCUUAGUCAGGUACCGUCUUUUUUCGUCCCUACUGAUAGAGCUUUACAUACCGAAAUACUUCCUCGCUCACGCGGCGUCGCUGCAUCAGGGUUUCCCCCAUUGUGCAAUAUUCCCCACUGCUGCCUCCCGUAGGAGUUUGGGCCGUGUCUCAGUCCCAAUGUGGCCGUUCACCCUCUCAGGCCGGCUACUGAUCGUCGCCUUGGUAGGCCGUUACCCUACCAACAAGCUAAUCAGACGCGGAGCCAUCCUUACACCACCUCUAGUUUUUCCACACCCGGACCAUGCGGUCCUGUGCGCUUAUGCGGUAUUAGCACCUAUUUCUAAGUGUUAUCCCCCUGUCGUAAGGCAGGUUCGUCCACGCGUUACUCACCCGUCCGCCACUAACGUUACCACAUUUCCACUCUUAGCAAGCUAAUCGCUUCAAAAUGAUAACUCGUUCGACUUGCAUGUGUUAAGCACGCCGCCUAGCGUUCAUCCUGAGCCAGGAUCAAACUCU